rnacentral:rRNA from 1 species
GACGAACGCUGGCGGCGUGCCUAAUACAUGCAAGUAGAACGCUGAAGGAGGAGCUUGCUUCUCCGGAUGAGUUGCGAACGGGUGAGUAACGCGUAGGUAACCUGCCUGGUAGCGGGGGAUAACUAUUGGAAACGAUAGCUAAUACCGCAUAACAGUAGAUGUUGCAUGACAUUUGCUUAAAAGGUGCAAUUGCAUCACUACCAGAUGGACCUGCGUUGUAUUAGCUAGUUGGUGAGGUAACGGCUCACCAAGGCGACGAUACAUAGCCGACCUGAGAGGGUGAUCGGCCACACUGGGACUGAGACACGGCCCAGACUCCUACGGGAGGCAGCAGUAGGGAAUCUUCGGCAAUGGACGGAAGUCUGACCGAGCAACGCCGCGUGAGUGAAGAAGGUUUUCGGAUCGUAAAGCUCUGUUGUAAGAGAAGAACGAGUGUGAGAGUGGAAAGUUCACACUGUGACGGUAUCUUACCAGAAAGGGACGGCUAACUACAUG